UGGGCGUAAAGCGAGCGCAGGCGGUUAGAUAAGUCUGAAGUUAAAGGCUGUGGCUUAACCAUAGUACGCUUNGGAAACUGUUUAACUUGAGUGCAGAAGGGGAGAGUGGAAUUCCAUGUGUAGCGGUGAAAUGCGUAGAUAUAUGGAGGAACACCGGUGGCGAAAGCGGCUCUCUGGUCUGUAACUGACGCUGAGGCUCGAAAGCGUGGGGAGCGAACAGGAUUAGAUACCCUGGUAGUNCACGCCGUAAACGAUGAGUGCUAGGUGUUAGGCCCUUUCCGGGGCUUAGUGCCGCAGCUAACGCAUUAAGCACUCCGCCUGGGGAGUACGACCGCAAGGUUGAAACUCAAAGGAAUUGACGGGGGCCCGCACAAGCGGUGGAGCAUGUGGUUUAAUUCGAAGCAACGCGAAGAACCUUACCAGGUCUUGACAUCCCGAUGCCCGCUCUAGAGAUAGAGUUUUACUUCGGUACAUCGGUGACAGGUGGUGCAUGGUUGUCGUCAGCUCGUGUCGUGAGAUGUUGGGUUAANNNNNNNAACGAGCGCAACCCUUAUUGUUAGUUGCCAUCAUUCAGUUGGGCACUCUAGCGAGACUGCCGGUAAUAAACCGGAGGAAGGUGGGGAUGACGUCAAAUCAUCAUGCCCCUUAUGACCUGGGCUACACACGUGCUACAAUGGCUGGUACAACGAGUCGCAAGUCGGUGACGGCAAGCUAAUCUCUUAAAGCCAGUCUCAGUUCGGAUUGUAGGCUGCAACUCGCCUACAUGAAGUCGGAAUCGCUAGUAAUCGCGGAUCAGCACGCCGCGGUGAAUACGUUCCCGGGCCUU
rnacentral:rRNA from 1 species